rnacentral:misc_RNA from 1 species
GAUGAAGAACGUAGCGAAAUGCGAUAAGUAAUGUGAAUUGCAGAAUUCAGUGAAUCAUCGAAUCUUUGAACGCACAUUGCGCCCCUUGGUAUUCCGAGGGGCAUGCCUAUUCGAGCGUCAUUAUCACCCCUCAAGCCUAGCUUGGUGUUGAGGCCUGCUGUCAAGGCAGCCUCUAAAAUCAGUGGCAGUGCUGUCAGGCUCUAAGCGUAGUAAAUCUAAUCGCUAUAGACACCUGGUGGACACUCGCCAGAACCCCCCCAUUUUUUAAUGAUUGACCUCGGAUUUGGUAGGGAUACCCGCUGAACUUAAGCAUAUCAAUAAGCGGAGGA